UACGUAGGGGGCAAGCGUUACCCGGAAUUAUUGGGCGUAAAGCGCACGUAGGCGGCUCGAAAAGUCUCUUGUGAAAGCCCGGGGCUCAACCCCGGGAGGCCAGGGGAUACUAUCGGGCUGGAGACAGGCAGAGGCUGGUGGAAUUCCGGGUGUAGCGGUGGAAUGCGUAGAGAUCCGGAGGAACACCGGAGGCGAAGGCGGCCAGCUGGGCCUGAUCUGACGCUGAGGUGCGAAGGCGUGGGGAGCGAACAGG
rnacentral:misc_RNA from 1 species